GACGAACGCUGGCGGCGUGCUUAACACAUGCAAGUCGAACGGAAAGGCCCUGCUUUUGUGGGGUGCUCGAGUGGCGAACGGGUGAGUAACACGUGAGUAACCUGCCCUUGACUUUGGGAUAACUUCAGGAAACUGGGGCUAAUACCGGAUAGGAGCUCCUGCCGCAUGGUGGGGGUUGGAAAGUUUCGGCGGUUGGGGAUGGACUCGCGGCUUAUCAGCUUGUUGGUGGGGUAGUGGCUUACCAAGGCUUUGACGGGUAACCGGCCUGAGAGGGUGACCGGCCACAUUGGGACUGAGAGACGGCCCAGACUCCUACGGGAGGCAGCAGUGGGGAAUAUUGCACAAUGGGCGGAAGCCGGAUGCAGCAACGCCGCGUGCGGGAUGACGGCCUGCGGGUUGUAAACCGCUUUCGCCUGUUACGAAGCGUGAGUGACGGUAAUGGGUAAAGAAGCACCGGCUAACUACGUG
rnacentral:rRNA from 1 species